UAUAUAUAUACCUUUUUGUUGUUCAACUGCAUCACGUGACUUUUUUAUUCUCGGUGUCAAAAUUCACACUUAGAUUUACACACUCACAAGUGUGUGUGUGUCUUUUUUUAUCCUAUGUUAUUAUGUGUGAGAUCGGAAGAGCA